rnacentral:ncRNA from 12 species
CUCUAAUAUUUUUUCUAGAUUAUAUAUUCUAAGGAAUAUAUACAAUGAGAUAUUAGAUAUUAAAGAGAUUUGUUCCUUCCUAAUUAAGGUAAAAAAGAAUCAAUAUAAUUUGUAUUAGUAAAAUUAAGUGAAUAUAUGAAUUAUAU